rnacentral:misc_RNA from 1 species
CCGAGAGAGGGCGCCCCGCGCCCGACCUCCAACCCUUUGUCGAUUCAUACCGCGUUGCCUCGGGGUGGCCCUCGCCGGCGCCCCAGAGGACACCAAUCAAAACUCUGUGUACCGUACGUCCGAGUCCAUUGAUGAAUCAAUCA